rnacentral:rRNA from 1 species
AGCGAACGCUGGCGGCAGGCUUAACACAUGCAAGUCGAGCGGGCACUUUCGGGUGUCAGCGGCGGACGGGUGAGUAACGCGUGGGAACGUGCCCUCUGGUUCGGAAUAACUCAGGGAAACUUGAGCUAAUACCGGAUACGCCCUUUUGGGGAAAGGCUUGCUGCCGGAGGAUCGGCCCGCGUCUGAUUAGCUAGUUGGUGAGGUAACGGCUCGCCAAGGCGACGAUCAGUAGCUGGUCUGAGAGGAUGAUCAGCCACACUGGGACUGAGACACGGCCCAGACUCCUACGGGAGGCAGCAGUGGGGAAUAUUGGACAAUGGGCGCAAGCCUGAUCCAGCCAUGCCGCGUGAGUGAUCAAGGCCUUAGGGUUGUAAAGCUCUUUUAUCCGGGACGAUAAUGACGGUACCGGAGGAAUAAGCCCCGGCUAACUUCGUG